CUUCCACUCACCCCCCCUUCCCACAAGACCUAUCGAGAGAGCUGCACUGUGGGAUAGCUGCCCUAGAGUGCUGCUCUCAUUGGGGAUGGAAGUGUUGCUAGUGUAAACACUCUCUGACGCCUGAGGAAUUAAUGUGAUCUGUUUAGCAUGGAAAUAGCAACUUCAAGCUGUAUUUCACCAGGGCCAGUAUGGUCAAAACAUGAGGGACCCUUAGACCAAAGGGUAAACAAGCUCAAAAGAAAGACAGCUGAAAAGGAAAAUUCACCAGCAUCAAGAGCUGACAGAUGGAAGAAGCCAGCCUGGGCAACUCACCUGAUGAUGCUAUAGUUAGAGCUACAGGGACACCUCCAGCGGAACCACCAAAGAACCAGGAAUCUGCUCUGAGACCUUUAACAACGAAGAGCACAGACGUAGCAUCUGAAGCUCAGAUACGUCAAAUCCAAGGACAAAACAAAAGACUCUGGUAAAAAGCAACAAUGCAAACACAGUUCCUCAGUGGUCAACACCACACAAGGCCUUUGAGAAAAAGGAAUGAAAACACACACAUUUACAACCCAGAGCACAUGCUUUAGGGGUUGUGAAUAAAAAAAAAAAAAAGGACUGAAAGCUCCUGCGUUAUGAAAUAUCUAAAAAUUAUGAACUA